rnacentral:tRNA from 1 species
GGCGGAUGUAGCCAAGUGGAUCAAGGCAGGGGAUUUGGGGA